CUCAGGAUGAACGCUGGCGGUGUGCCUAAUACAUGCAAGUCGAACGGAGUUGAUGGGAGCUUGCUCCUUGAUACUAGUGGCGAACGGGUGAGUAACACGUAGGUAACCUGCCCUUAGCUGGGAUACCCAGAGGAAACUUUGGCUAAUACCGGAUAACAACAACCGAGGCAUCUCGGAUGCUUGAAAGGCCCUUUUUGGGUCACUAAAGGAUGGACCUGCGGCGCAUUAGCUAGUUGGUGAGAUAAUAGCCCACCAAGGCGAGGAUGCGUAGCCGAACUGAGAGGCUGAUCGGCCACAUGGAAACUGAGACACGGUUCCAACUCCUACGGGAGGCAGCAGUAAGGAGUUUUCGGCAAUGGGGGAAACCCUGACCGAGCAACACCGCGUGAGUGAUGACGGCCCUAUGGGUUGUAAAGCUCUGUUGUAGGGGAAGAAAUGUGAGGGUAGUGGAAUGACCUUCACUUGACGGUACCCUACCAGAAAGCCACGGCUAACUACGUGCCAGCAGCAGC
rnacentral:rRNA from 1 species